rnacentral:rRNA from 1 species
AGCAGCUGCGGUAAUUCCAGCUCCAAUAGCGUAUAUUAAAGUUGUUGCAGUUAAAAGCUCGUAGUUGAAUUUCGGGGUUAGUAGGUUGGUCAUGCCUCUGGUAUGUACUGGUCUCACUGAUUCCUCCUUCCUGAUGAACCUUAAUGCCAUUAAUUUGGUGUUUUGGGGAAUUUGGACUGUUACUUUGAAAAAAUUAGAGUGUUUAAAGCAAGCUAACGCUUGAAUACAUUAGCAUGGAAUAAUGAAAUAGGGCGUUCGAUCCUGUUUUGUUGGUUUCUAGGAUUGACGUAAUGAUUAAUAGGGAUAGUUGGGGGCAUUAGUAUUCAAUUGUCAGAGGUGAAAUUCUUGGGUUUAUUGAAGACUAAUUACUGCGAAAGCAUUUGCCAAGGAUGUUUUCAUUAAUCAAGAACGAAAGUUAGGGGAUCGAAGACGAUCAGAUACCGUCGUAGUCUUAACCAUAAACUAUGCUGACUAGGGAUCGGAUGAUGUUAAUUUUUUUCAAUGACUCAUUCGGCGCCUU